UAGAGAGGCUUCUUAUGAAGAUGUACUGCAUAGACUUUAGAUGUUGCUUGUGUAAGGUAGAGUUUAGACCUCAAAUGAUGCCGCACCUUCGACAUCUGAUGUUAAGGAGGAAGUGUUGACACCUCUGCCGAUAUAAGCAGUUCUCCUUCUUCCGGUUCAUAUUCCCCAUCAGCUGUCCAGAUUCCAUAACACAUGAUGCUGAUAACACCCAGAGGUAGACCAAAAAGAAAGCAGCCCAGGAGAGGAGAGGUCUUAAAAACGGACUAAUUGAAGCAUAAGAGAACACAAAAAAGCCUACAGGUAUCUCCAUCAAUUGACAUCAUGGCCCAAUCUCACAACGCAGAUCACCUUUCUAUUAAGGUACUUGAAGACGAUGCAGAAAGUUCCAUGUUCGUGGUCCAGGCAACUUGCCACAACCUCAUGCUGCUACAAUAUUGGUCUGAAAAACCUUUUUUUGAUAAUACUCAGAUAAAACAGACCCAAGCCACACUUUCAAACACAAAUGGCAGCAUCCAGUUCGUUUUGAAAGUAUUGCGUCGUUCACCUUCAUUGCAAAACUGUGACUACUGGACACCCUUUGUAAUUGGGCUUGUGUUGGAUGCGCUGUCACGAGGUUAUCAACUGCCUUCCAGAACAACAUGGAAUGGAGACAUUAAUCAACUAUUGAAAGAAAAGGCCAUUCUAUUAAUGAAAUAGCAAUGGCUUGCAUUGUGCAAAAAGAUCCCCCGUUAAUCUCCGUUGUAUUCUAAUUAUAUUCAAAGUGUAUAAUUAUCAAACUCAAACUACUGAAAGAUUGUGUGUUUAUUUAUCAGGACUGAUCACCACAUUGCUUUAUCCCUCAUUUACCAGGAGCUAUCUUUAAGGCAAGUCACUUAAGUCGAAAAUUACCAGAAUUAUGAAGGAACUCCCUCCUGUCAACUUCUCCCUGGAUUGGUACUUUACUUUUAAUCAACAGGGUGUUUUUAACAUUUAUUUAUAUUUAUUCAUUCCUCAGAUGUGGGCAUUUACUGUUCAUUCCUAGCUGUUCAAGAAGGUGGGUGAGUCUUUUUCUUAGAUCACUGAUAGUGCUUUAAUACAACUGUGUGGCUUGCAAGGCCACUUCAGAAGACAGUUAAGAGUCAACCAUGUUAAUUGUGUGAUUCUGCUUCUUUCCAUCAAUCUAAUGAUGGGGAAAGUUUACCAAUAAUUACUGUUCUUAGAAAUGGCAUGUGCUCAGCUUCACAGAGUCAAGUUACUGGUAAGUAACUAUAAUAUGUAGGUUUCAAAUACAUUUUAUACUCUACUCCAGCACUGAUUUUACUUAACACUUUCUUCCUUAAUUGGCAUUUGCAGCUGUCAUAUGAAAAGGCUAUUUACUUUAAAAUUAAUACUGCAGGUAAUUAUAAUUUUUGUUGGAAAACAUGGUGACUGCUCUGCUCCCAGGACACUAUCAUCAUCAUUCCUUGCCAGUUGCUAGCUGGCACACAUCAUCGGUCUGGUGAACAUCCUUCAUCCAAUGUCCUCUGCUGCACACUUCCAUGCAGCUCAUUCCAGAGCUGCAGAUUUGAACUUGUAACCCACUGUUCUGUUGACUGAUGAAUUGGUCUCCAAUGUCAUUUCCCUUACUUUUCUGUAAGAAUUAUAUAUUUAUAGUUCAUCAUGUUUUCUUAGUUAAUAAAUAUCCCAAGUGGUAUCUUAAAAUCCAUACCGUAUACAUAUACACACUUCCUGUUCACCAAAUUUGACUUUGUUAUAUUUAAUGUCAACUGUUAACAUUGAAAUUCCUGGUGUAAUUGAAAUUCUUAAUACCAAUAUUUGCCUGUCACUGCUUGUUAAUGAACCAACAGAAUCAUUCAAAAUGCUUGUUCAAAGAGUUUUCAUCCAUCAUUUUCCUCAAAUACGGUUUUAAACAAUUGUUUUCAAUUACAUAUUUAAUAAUUAUAUUUACCAAAA